CCUCUCGUAGCUUACUGGUCAAAGCAUUGUCGUGUAAAGCCAAAGGUCUGGGGUUCGAUUCCCGGCGAGGGUG
rfam:Agrilus planipennis Contig23501, whole genome shotgun sequence.